UACUUUUGUUGUUAACAGAGGACCUAAAAGACUUGUGUCACUUCUGUGGAGAGAUGGAAAGUGACCCGGAUGUGAACUGGAUCCAGUGUGACGUGUGUCUGAGGUGGUUCCAUCAUGCGUGUGUUGGAAACCCACCAACUGGAAAAACUUAUCACUGCUUUGCGUGUUUGCCUUAGUUGCCUUAGUUUGCCUUUGUUCCUGAGUUUGCUGUGGUGUUCUUGUUUAUGUAUGUUGUUUAAUGGUUAAUAAAUUACAUUUUGAAAA